AGGAAAAGAAACUAACAAGGAUUCCCCUAGUAACUGCGAGUGAAGCGGGAAAAGCUCAAAUUUAAAAUCUGACGGUCUUUGGCUGUCCGAGUUGUAAUCUAGAGAAGCGUUAUCCGCGCUGGACCGUGUACAAGUCUCCUGGAAUGGAGCGUCAUAGAGGGUGAGAAUCCCGUCUUUGACACGGACUGCCAGGGCUUUUGUGAUGCGCUCUCAAAGAGUCGAGUUGUUUGGGAAUGCAGCUCAAAAUGGGUGGUAAAUUCCAUCUAAAGCUAAAUAUUGGCGAGAGACCGAUAGCGAACAAGUACCGUGAGGGAAAGAUGAAAAGAACUUUGGAAAGAGAGUUAAACAGUACGUGAAAUUGCUGAAAGGGAAACGCUUGAAGUCAGUCGCGUUGUCCAGGGAUCAACCUUGCUGUUGCUUGGUGUACUUUCUGGUUGACGGGUCAGCAUCAAUUUUGACCAUUGGAAAAAGAUCAGGGGAAUGUGGCAUCCUCGGAUGUGUUAUAGCCUUUGGUUGCAUACAAUGGUUGGGAUUGAGGAACUCAGCACGCCGCAAGGCCGGGUGUCUCACCACGUACGUGCUUAGGAUGCUGGCAUAAUGGCUUUAAUCGACCCGUCUUGAAACACGGACCAAGGAGUCUAACAUGCCUGCGAGUGUUUGGGUGGAAAACCCGAGCGCGUAAUGAAAGUGAAAGUUGAGAUCCCUGUCGUGGGGAGCAUCGACGCCCGGACCAGACCUUUUGUGACGGCUCCGCGGUAGAGCAUGUAUGUUGGGACCCGAAAGAUGGUGAACUAUGCCUGAAUAGGGUGAAGCCAGAGGAAACUCUGGUGGAGGCUCGUAGCGAUUCUGACGUGCAAAUCGAUCGUCAAAUUUGGGUAUAGGGGCGAAAGACUAAUCGAACCAUCUAGUAGCUGGUUCCUGCCGA
rnacentral:rRNA from 1 species